rnacentral:lncRNA from 1 species
AAAAUCAUCACUAGGCUCAUUCCCAAAGUAAUGCCUCGCCCUCACAGCUAAGUGGAAACCAAACCAGCCACCAGAGAAAUGGAAGUUAGGCCAUUGUAUCAGUCAGGAUAUUCUUUUAAAUAACCAGAGGGCUUUGUUGUCUCUUAGAAUUGGAAUGUCAAGUGGGAAGAUAAGUUUCAGGGGCUGUUUGAUUGAGCAACCCAAAAAUGUCAUUAAGAAAAGAUCCGGCUUCUUUCCAUCUCUCCACUCUACUUUUUACAGGUCAAUGAAUCCAAGUUGUUUUUGUUUUGUUUUGUUUUCAUUAUGACAAAAUGGUGGCAGCCAUUCUAGACUGACACGCCACAGCAGCUGGAAGAAAGACACGAUCUUUUCCUCUGAUGCCUCUCUCAGAAGCAUUCCAGUUUAUGUCUUCCUCUUGCCUAUUUGAGGACUAAAGUCAAAAUGUCUAUACCAUCCUGUACAGCCACAUAUGGGUCUUGAGCACUUGAAAAGUGACUGGUCCAGCUUCACAUGUGCUGUUCACACAGAAUGGGACCCUAGCGAUAUGAAAGUCAAGAAAAAGUAAGGAGUAUCAUUAGAGGAAAGUAAAUGCUGGACCUC